rnacentral:tRNA from 1 species
GCUAGGAUGGUGCAGUGGUUUGAACGUUGGACUAUAAAUCUGGAGACCAGGGUUUGAAUUCCCACUCAGCC